rnacentral:misc_RNA from 1 species
GUUGAUGCACACAAAACAUGUCUAAAUGAUCUGAUGUACUUCCCCACUCGGAAUGCUUACGGUCUCUCAAGUGUUGCUGGAAAUGUGGAGAAACUAGCAGCUUUACAGAAUGAAUUUGAUAAUGUGAAAAUGAGGUUAGAGAUUGAAAGAGAGAAGGCAUUACGCCUUGAGAAGAAGGUCAAUGUUCUUACACAGGGUUAUCA